CAGCAGCCGCGGUAAUACGAAGGGUGCAAGCGUUAAUCGGAGUUACUGGGCGUAAAGCGUGCGUAGGCGGUUUGUUAAGUCUGUUGUGAAAUCCCCGGGCUCAACCUGGGAAUGGCAAUGGAUACUGGCAAGCUAGAGUGUGUCAGAGGAUGGUGGAAUUCCCGGUGUAGCGGUGAAAUGCGUAGAGAUCGGGAGGAACAUCAGUGGCGAAGGCGGCCAUCUGGGACAACACUGACGCUGAGGCACGAAAGCGUGGGGAGCAAACAGGAUUAGAUACCCGCGUAGUCCCUGUCUCUUAUAU
rnacentral:rRNA from 1 species